rnacentral:rRNA from 1 species
GACGAACGCUGGCGGCGUGCUUAACACAUGCAAGUCGAACGAAGUGGCGAACGGGUGAGUAACGCGUAAUCAACCUGCCCUUCAGAGGGGGACAACAGUUGGAAACGACUGCUAAUACCGCAUACUGAAGGAGGGGAUUGCGUCUGAUUAGCAAGUCGGAGGGGUAACGGCCCACCAAGGCUGUGCUCAGUGGCAGGUCUUCGGGGAUGAACGGCCAAAUUGUGACUGGUGAACGGCCCAGAUGCCGAAGGGAUGAAGCAGUGGGGAAGCUUCCGCAAUGGACGAAAGUCUGACGGAGCAACGCCGCGUGAGUGAUGACGGCCUUCGGGUUGUAAAGCUCUGUUAAUCGGGACGCGGUACCGGAAUAGAAAGCAACGGCUAACUACGUGCCAGCAGCCGCGGUAAUUC